rnacentral:rRNA from 1 species
GCAGUCUGCAACUCGACUGCAUGAAGCCGGAAUCGCUAGUAAUCGCGGAUCAGAAUGCCGCGGUGAAUACGUUCCCGGGUCUUGUACACACCGCCCGUCACACCAUGGGAGUCAGUAACGCCCGAAGCCGGUGACCCAACCAAGAAUGGAGGGAGCCGUCGAAGGUGGGACCGAUAACUGGGGUGAAGUCGUAACAAGGUAUC